UACAGAGGGUGCAAGCGUUGUUCGGAAUUACUGGGCGUAAAGCGCGUGUAGGCUGCGACGUAAGUCAGGUGUGAAAGCCCUCAGCUUAACUGAGGAAGUGCACUUGAUACUGCGUCGCUUGAGUGUCGGAGGGGGUGGCGGAAUUCCCGGUGUAGAGGUGAAAUUCGUAGAUAUCGGGAGGAACACCUGUGGCGAAGGCGGUUCUCUGGGCAUUACCUGACGCUGAGGAGCGAAAGUGUGGGGAGCGAACAGG
rnacentral:rRNA from 1 species